AGAAAUGUGAACUAGAAGAAGAGGGAAGAAAAAGCACUAGCAAGUGAGAACAAACGAAGAGCUAAUAAAUUGUGUAAAGGAGUCAAAACAGUGCCAGGAAUUCCUCCAUUGCACACAUAAAUGAAGAUAUGCUGCAAGGACGGUGGUUCCGACACAUGUACUGAACUAUAAUGGGCAACAUAGCUCCUAUGAUGAGAAGAAACGGGUAUGCUUGAGAUCUGCUCCUCCAUAUUACACUGCGAUCAUGAUUCACCAGUGCAGUGAAGACACUCCCACAGGAAUUCACCAAUAAAUGCUGUGAUUAUUUCCAUCAUCUGGCGAGUGAAGAAAGAACGUGGUCAAGAGAAACAACUUUAUGUAACCACUGAAGUUUACUGGCAUACUAUUAUAAAAAUGCAGUGUGUUAAAGAAGAGUUUAAAGAGGAGUGUGAAGACAUCAGUAUUACAGAAUCAUGCAGAAUGAAUCAUGAAGAUACUGAAGAACAAAGAGACUUGAUAGAAGUGAAAGAAGAAAGUCAAGGACUGAAUGAUGUGGAGGAGAAACAUCAUAAAUUUGAUCAUUUCAUGACUGGUGAAGAACAUUUUAGUGGCUCAAAGACUGAAAUUAAUUUCUCACAGAAAAGAACUCCAAGAACAAGAGCCAAAAAUUCUUUCAGCUGCUCUCAGUGUGGAAAGAGAUUCACAGAAAAAGGAAACCUUAAUGCUCACUUAAGAAUUCACACUGGAGAAAGACCGUUCACAUGCCAUCAGUGUGGAAAGAGUUUCAUAAUUAAAAGAGACCUUAAAAAACACAUCAAAAUUCACACUGGAGAGAAGCCUUUCACAUGUUCCCAGUGUGGCAACAGUUUCAGAGAGAGGGGAAGCCUUAAGAAUCACCUAAGAAUUCACACUGGAGAGAAGCCUUUUACAUGCCUUCAGUGUGGAAAAAGUUUCACACAGAAAGGACGGCUUGAUGGUCACAUGAAAAUUCACACCGGAGAGAAACCUUUUACAUGCCAUCAGUGUGGAACAAGUUUCAGAGAGAAAGGAAAUCUUCAGCGCCACAUGAGAAUCCACACUGGAGAAAAGCCUUUCACCUGCUCUCAGUGUGGGAAACAUUUCUCACAAGCAUGCAAUCUCACAAUUCAUCUGCACUAUCAUUCUGGAUUUAAGCCAUUUAACUGUGAUCAGUGUGGCAAGCAAUUUAGGCAGGCAUCACAUCUAAAGAGACACCUGACAUCUCACGCAAAUGAAAAGCCUUAGGCCGGGAGUACAAAGUGCAAGUUUUGACACUCAAGAGGUCGUGAGCCCCUCCACACGUUAUGAGUCAAUUUAUCUGAUAAUUGUACAGAUGCAGUGGUGCACGGCACAAAUUUAUGACCUGGUGAAUUCCGAAGCAAUCGCAUGAAUUUCCGCACUUUUUAAUUUUAAAACAAAGCCAGAGAAGGAGAUUGCUUUAAUUCCACUUAGCUUGCAAUUUAGAAAAAAUAAAAAUAAAAAGACUGGCAUGUCAUGACGUACAUUAGCUGAAAUUGAAUCUACCGAUUACAAAAAAUAAGUAAAAAUGAUGGAUGAUUAUUAAAAAUGCUUUCCAACAUUUGACAGAUUCAGAUUUCGAUGGCAGGCUGUCUGAAUUCAUGACUGCAUACAUCAAUCAACUUCAGUGUGUUGCUGCGAGUUACUGCAUGAUAAUAAAGUGUACAAAAUGUACAAGAUUUAAAAGAAAUUGUGCAAAAUUCGUGCAACGUUUCUGCUGGUUAAUACUUUGAUUUAAUCUAAGAGGAUACAUGACGUUUAGUGCAGAAUUCAUAGUUAUUUUGGUGGAGUAGGCUUCUCAUCUGUUUCACUGCUUGCAUGUUGAUAGCAGACAUACUGAAGUGAGGUCUUAUUGUCCAUGUGAAUGUGCUUUAAAGCUGCAUGUAGCAAAGUAAAAAACAAAUAGUUUUUUAGUGCAGUGGUUGAUUGAAAUGUAGGACUCUUCUGAAAUGUAAACUUUUUUUUUUUUAACAGGUAGAACUUUCAACCUAAAAGUCCUUGGUUUCAGCAGACUCCGGCAUGGGGGUUUAAAACAUCUCACAUAUCCACUAUCAUGUAGGCUAUAUACAAUUAUAAUAGAGUCCUUCUUAGUGAUGUGGUAGUGAGUAGUAUGGAGAAAACACAGUUUUAAACAACCAUUUUCUCCAAAUGUCUAAACGCUUCAUCAACACUCAUUCAUUGAUCGUGUGAGUUCUUCUGAUUGGUCAACUUCAGGUAGAUCGCCAAAUCGGCUCAUUCAACCACACACACCCCUCACAAGCUGACAGUGCACAAAUAAUUUUAGAGAUUUUAAAAAUGAUCAGCAGGUCAUACGCUGCUCGUAGCCCGCUUGGCUCUGCAUGUAUUUCCUCCACACAAGCACCAAUGAUUGCCACGUUAUUUAUCCAAACUGAAAAAAUUGUUCGGGGGUUUGUACGACAUCUGAAAAUUGUACCAUGUACACCCGUCUUUACGUGUGUUCUUUUUGUGGAAGCAGUUUUAUUACAUCAGGACAACUGAAAGCACAUGAGACCAUUUUCAACAAUUUUCAGGCCAAGGACCCCUUGGUGGGUAGAGAGAUGGAGCCGGGACCCCCGUUACAUAUUGUAUAAAAUUGAGUGUUGCAUUUUAUGCCUAUAAAAACGUGGAUGGUAGGCUACCAAAUUAUUGUAUGUAUACUUCAUGAUGUUUACAUUACAAAGCCAUUGAAAUAAUAAAAACUAAUAAUAAAAGAAACUGUAGGCUGUCAUCUGCUCAACCGCAUUGCGCAACCCAUGCAAAGCAGAGGCAUUUACUCGCGCGACCCUCCACCAUAGUGCUGCGGAACCUGAUGUGUGUCGUGCUUUGAGCGGCUCGUGAUGAGCAGUGGUGGAUUGAAGGGUUUGUCCAGGCCGAGCGCUUCUGCUGACUAGCGCUGUUUAGUCCAACUUUAAGAUUUGGCUUGCAGCUGCGAAGGACUAAAACAUGUCGAUAUUUCAUACUCCUGUCUAUCACUGUUGAUCAGAUCCGAGUGAGUGAUUAUUACAAAUGCCACCAAUGGUAGAUCAAACAAUAAUUGAAUAACAUAUAACGUGUGCGUAAGGGUAGCCGGUUGUUUAAUGAAAAAUACUUCCUGGAGUGACCAGUAGGUGAUGCUAUAGGUACACUGUGUUCAUUUGUUCUAACAUGUUACCAUUAUAGAUGCAGUGCAAGUCCAAUAGCUGCCAGAGAAAAAUGUAACCAGAGAUUAUUUUAUUUACUUAGAUAACCACUGCGGCUCUAUUAUAGGAGAGAGCGUAACAGUCAACUAGCGUGUUACCACAGUUAAGUCACCGUUUGCGCAUACCAUACACAUGAAUGGGAAAAGCCGUAAACUGACACCUACCUGUCGCAAAAUUGUCAAUGUCUUUUCUUAUAAACAGCAAUUUUAUAUGAAAGAAUUGAUGAGAAACUUUUUUACUUUAGAGAUGUUUUAUAAUUAUCAGUGUAAAAUGCAGUAAUAGUCAACUUUUACUAGAGCUGUUUUAAAGUAUUGUGUAUUUCUAACAACGCCAACACGCAUCUUAAAAUAGCAUUCUGAGAGGAGAUUUUUCUCACCACAAUUCUACAGAGUGGUUCUCUGAGUUUCGCACCAUUCUGAGUAAAUUCUAGAGACUGUUGUGUGUGAAAAUCCCAGGAGAAAAACAGUGAAAGAAAUACUCAAACCAGCCCAUCUGGCACCAACAAUCUUGCCAUGGUCCAAAUCACUGAGAUCUUUUUUCCCUAUUCUGAUGGUUGAUGUGAACAUUAUCUGAAGCUCCUGACCCAUAUCUGCAUGAUUUUAUGCACUGCACUGCUGCCACAAGAUCGACUGAUUAGAUAAUCACAUGGAUGAUUGUUGGAACGCCCAACACUGAUUAAAAGAAAAUGGGCAUGCAAAUUUAAUUUGUUAGAUGAAUAAAAAGACCCCUCUUUGAGUGACUUUUUGUUAUUUUAGUUUAGUUACAUUUGUAUUGUAAUUGUACCAACUGUGAUAUUGCAUAUUUUAAUGCGUGUGUUUGCUUUAUUGUUUAUUAAUUCUGCUUGAAUUGCCAUUACAAAUGUAUAUCUUAUUGUGAUUCAUAUUUGGAAGUAAAACAAAUAAAAAAAGAAGACUGACGUUUCAAACAGGUGCAAUACUCAUACCCACCUCCAGAGGGUGAUAAACAUGAAGUAUUUCACAGAGAUGUGUAGAAAUGUGAACUGGAAGAAGAUGCAAGUAUUGUUGUUUUAUGUUCAUGUUGAUUUUGUCAAUUCAUCUAAAGUCCUGACUGUGGAAAGUUCUUUUGUUCAACAUGUAUAAAUCCCUCCUGGCUGGCUCGCCAAUGUAAGAAGAAUAAAACGGGACCAGGCCGCGAUCUUGAAAUGAAGAUGCUGAAGUCUUUAUUCCAGUUUUGCAAUAACAAAAUCUGCUUCUCCAUACCACACAGUGAUCCUUAUUCACUCCUGCAGUAAAAAAGGUGGAAUAUAAAGAGGAACUCUACUGGCAUACUAUUGCAAAAAUGAAGU